rnacentral:rRNA from 3 species
CACUACGGUGCUGAAGCAACAAAUGCCCUGCUUCCAGGAAAAGCCUCUAAGCAUCAGGUAACAUCAAAUCGUACCCCAAACCGACACAGGUGGUCAGGUAGAGAAUACCAAGGCGCUUGAGAGAACUCGGGUGAAGGAACUAGGCAAAAUGGUGCCGUAACUUCGGGAGAAGGCACGCUGACACGUAGGUGAAGUGAUUUACUCAUGGAGCUGAAGUCAGUCGAAGAUACCAGCUGGCUGCAACUGUUUAUUAAAAACACAGCACUGUGCAAACACGAAAGUGGACGUAUACGGUGUGACGCCUGCCCGGUGCCGGAAGGUUAAUUGAUGGGGUCAGCGCAAGCGAAGCUCCUGAUCGAAGCCCCGGUAAACGGCGGCCGUAACUAUAACGGUCCUAAGGUAGCGAAAUUCCUUGUCGGGUAAGUUCCGACCUGCACGAAUGGCGUAAUGAUGGCCAGGCUGUCUCCACCCGAGACUCAGUGAAAUUGAACUCGCUGUGAAGAUGCAGUGUACCCGCGGCAAGACGGAAAGACCCCGUGAACCUUUACUAUAGCUUGACACUGAACAUUGAGCCUUGAUGUGUAGGAUAGGUGGGAGGCUUUGAAGUGUGGACGCCAGUCUGCAUGGAGCCGACCUUGAAAUACCACCCUUUAAUGUUUGAUGUUCUAACGUGGACCCGUUACCCGGGUUGCGGACAGUGUCUGGUGGGUAGUUUGACUGGGGCGGUCUCCUCCUAAAGAGUAACGGAGGAGCACGAAGGUUGGCUAAUCCUGGUCGGACAUCAGGAGGUUAGUGCAAUGGCAUAAGCCAGCCUGACUGCGAGCGUGACGGCGCGAGCAGGUGCGAAAGCAGGUCAUAGUGAUCCGGUGGUUCUGAAUGGAAGGGCCAUCGCUCAACGGAUAAAAGGUACUCCGGGGAUAACAGGCUGAUACCGCCCAAGAGUUCAUAUCGACGGCGGUGUUUGGCACCUCGAUGUCGGCUCAUCACAUCCUGGGGCUGAAGUAGGUCCCAAGGGUAUGGCUGUUCGCCAUUUAAAGUGGUACGCGAGCUGGGUUUAGAACGUCGUGAGACAGUUCGGUCCCUAUCUGCCGUGGGCGCUGGAGAACUGAGGGGGGCUGCUCCUAGUACGAGAGGACCGGAGUGGACGCAUCACUGGUGUUCGGGUUGUCAUGCCAAUGGCACUGCCCGGUAGCUAAAUGCGGAAGAGAUAAGUGCUGAAAGCAUCUAAGCACGAAACUUGCCCCGAGAUGAGUUCUCCCUGAGACUUAGAGUCUCCUGAAGGAACGUUGAAGACGACGACGUUGAUAGGCCGGGUGUGUAAGCGCAGCGAUGCGUUGAGCUAACCGGUACUAAUGAACCGUGAGGCUUAACCUUACAACGCCGAAG